AGCCUUGAUAAUCAUUCUUGAAAGAUUGAGUGGGAUGCAUUGGACUACAUGAUAUAUAAUUGCUAGUCCUUCUCUAUUAUAGUAUCAAAUCUUCCUACUCUAGGUUGUAUAAUCUAGCAAACAAUGAUGUGGAGGAGUCUCAUUUUAAUGUUUAAGUGUCGUCCAUAAAUUUUACGAAAUUGAUCAUGAUCCUCUAUCCCAAGAAUAGUUUCUAUUCUUGUGCUUCUAUCC
rnacentral:lncRNA from 1 species